rnacentral:rRNA from 1 species
AUUGAAAGCUGGAGGCAGGCCUAACACAUGCAAGUAGAACGAGUGGCGGACGGGUGAGUAAUGUCUGGGAAAAUGCCCGAUGGAGGGGGAUAACUACUGGAAACGGUAGCUAAUACCGCAUACCAUCGGAUGUGCACAGAUGGGAGUAGCUAGUAGGGGGGGUAACGGCUCACCUAGGCGACGAUCCCUAGCUGGUCUGAGAGGAUGACCCGCAACACUGGAACUGAGACACGGUCCAGACUCCUACGGGUGGCUGCAUUGGGGAAUAUUGCACAAUGGGCGCAAGCCUGAUGCAGCCAUGCCGCGUGUAUGAAGAAGGCCUUCGGGUUGUAAAGUACUUUCAGCGGGGAGGCGUUACCCGCAGAAGAAGCACCGGCUAACUCCGUGCCAGCAGCCGCGGUAAUAC